GACGAACGCUGGCGGCGUGCUUAACACAUGCAAGUCGAGCGGUAAGGCCCUUCCGGGGGUACGACGAGCGGCGAACGGGUGAGUAACACGUGGGUGACCUGCCCUCAGCUCUGGGAUAAGCCUGGGAAACCGGGUCUAAUACUGGAUAUGACUCCAUGACGCAUGUUGUGGGGUGGAAAGCCUUGUGCGGCUGAGGAUGGGUCCGCGGCCUAUCAGCUUGUUGGUGGGGUGAGGCCUACCAAGGCGACGACGGGUAGCCGGCCUGAGAGGGCGACCGGCCACACUGGGACUGAGACACGGCCCAGACUCCUACGGGAGGCAGCAGUGGGGAAUCUUGCGCAAUGGGCGAAAGCCUGACGCAGCGACGCCGCGUGAGGGAUGACGGCCUGG
rnacentral:rRNA from 1 species